ACGCUCGACACCUACGGGAGGUAGCAGUGGGGAAUAUUGGGCAAUGGGCGCAAGCCUGACCCAGCAACGCCGCGUGAAGGAAGAAGGCCCUCGGGUUGUAAACUUCUUUUAACAGGGACGAAGUAAGUGACGGUACCUGUUGAAUAAGCCACGGCUAACUACGUGCCAACAGCCGCGGUAAUCUGAGCGGGCUGGCAAGGC
rnacentral:rRNA from 1 species